AAAAUUAUAGGAGUAGUUUGUCGCAGCGUAAAACAUGUCACUUCCUGUUGCCAAUAGGUGGCGCUAUGACUAUAACUGAAUGUGGGCAUGUAGAUCUGUUAAGGGCAGAAGUUUUAUCUAACAUGUGAAGUUUGGGGCAGAUUGGACAUUGUAUGUCUGAGUUACAGCAACUUCCUUUUUCAUGGCAAAACAUCGAAAUUUGUCAGGCCACCAUGGACACGCCCUUUAACGAAAUCUAAAGAUCUUCGCAAUUUAACAUCGCAAAGGGCUUAAGAUUACACUGACCAGGUUUGGUGUUGAUCUGAAUAAAUCUCUAGGAGGAGUUCGUUAAAGUACAACCCCUGAAAAUGGCAAAAACAACGCCAAUAUUGCAGAGAAAAUUCUAAAUAACCGACUUCCUGUUGGGAUUCGGAUUUCGUACCAAGAGACUUUUUUGUAGGUAUUGGUGUGUUACAUGUGUAUACCGAUUUUUGUACAUGUACGUGAAACAUAGCUCGAGGCGCACUCUGUUGAAAGUGUAUAGGUGGCGCUAUCGAGCCAUUUUGCCACACCUGAUGGAAUUUUGGCCUUCAGAUGUGUUCAGGCCAGGACUCUUAUCACACAUGUGCAGUUUGGGGAAGAUCGGACAUUUUAUGCCUUAGUUAUAACAUCUUUUAUUCCCAUGGCGAGACAUCGAACUUCGUGACGGCGCCAUGGACACGCCUUUUAACGAAAACUCAAGAUCUUCACAACUUAACAUCGCACAGGCCUUUAGAUUAGACUGACCACAAAAAAUACAUUGAUGUCAUAAAAUUUCUAGGAGUAGUUCAUCGCAGUGUAAAAUAUGUCACUUCCUGUUGCCAAUAGGUGGCGCUAUGACUAUAACUGAAUAUGGGCAUGUCAAUCUGUUCAGGUCAGGAGUCUCAUCAAACAUGUGAAGCUUGGGGCAGAUUGGUCAUUGUAUGUCUGAGUUAUAGCAACUUCCUGUUUCAUGGCGAAUCAUCGAAGUUCGCCAGGCCGCCACGGACACGCCCAUUAACGAAAACUCAAAAGCUUCGCAAUUUAACAUCGCAAAGGCCUUCAGAUUAGGCAUACCAAAUUUGGUGUUGAUCUGAAUGAAUCUCUAGGAGGAGUUCGUUAAAAUACAACGCAUGGAAAUGACAAAAAUGACACAAAAUUUGCUCAUACUAUUAGUAAUAACCGACUUCCUGUUGGGUUUCGGAUUUUGCUCCAAGAGACUUUUUUGUAGGUAUUGGAGAGUUACAUGAGUAUACCGAUUUUCAUACAUGUACAUGAAACGUAGCUCGAGGCGCACACCGUUGAACGUGUAUAGGUGGCGCUGUUGAGCCAUUUUGCCACACCCACUUCUGAAACCCAUAUCAGACGUAAAUUUUCGCCAGUUCUGAGGUGUGUGCAAAGUUUCAUGACUUUUCGAGCAUGUUUAGGCCCUCAAAAAUGCGAUUCAUUUUGGAGAAGAAGAAUAAUAAUAAUUAAAGCUGCAAGCAGCGAUGAACGGGCCCUCGCACCCGGGCUCACCGCCAUCGUGUUGCUUUAGUAAAAAGGUGAACGUUGAGAAAUAUGCAUUUAAUGUCCUAAAUAUAAGUGGAAUAUAUCAAAGUAUAUCCCAUAUAUGUGCCAAUCUUACCGUUGCCAGCAGGUGGCGCUAUCAUUAUAAUGGAAUAUUGGCCUUCAGAUGUGUUCAGGCCAGGACUCUUAUCGAACAUGUGAAGUUUGGGGAAGAUUAAACAUUUUAUGCUUGAGUUACAACCACUUCUCUUGCUGUGGCAAGACAUCAAAUUUUGUCAUGGCGCCAUGGAAACGCCCUUUAACAAAAACUCAAGAUCUCCAAAAGUUAACAUUGCACAGGCCUUUAGAUUAGACUGACCACAAAAUAUAUGUUAAUCUCAAAAAAAUUAUAGGAGUAGUUUGUCGCAGCGUAAAACAUGUCACUUCCUGUUGCCAAUAGGUGGCGCUAUGACUAUAACUGAAUGUGGGCAUGUAGAUCUGUUAAGGGCAGAAGUUUUAUCUAACAUGUGAAGUUUGGGGCAGAUUGGACAUUGUAUGUCUGAGUUACAGCAACUUCCUUUUUCAUGGCGAAAUAUCGAAAUUUGUCAGGCCACCAUGGACACGCCCUUUAACGAAAUCUAAAGAUCUUCGCAAUUUAACAUCGCAAAGGGCUUAAGAUUACACUGACCAGGUUUGGUGUUGAUCUGAAUAAAUCUCUAGGAGGAGUUCGUUAAAGUACAACCCCUGAAAAUGGCAAAAACAACGCCAAUAUUGCAGAGAAAAUUCUAAAUAACCGACUUCCUGUUGGGAUUCGGAUUUCGUACCAAGAGACUUUUUUGUAGGUAUUGGUGUGUUACAUGUGUAUACCGAUUUUUGUACAUGUACGUGAAACAUAGCUCGAGGCGCACUCUGUUGAAAGUGUAUAGGUGGCGCUAUCGAGCCAUUUUGCCACACCUGAUGGAAUUUUGGCCUUCAGAUGUGUUCAGGCCAGGACUCUUAUCACACAUGUGAAGUUUGGGGAAGAUCGGACAUUUUAUGCCUGAGUUAUAACAUCUUUUAUUCCCAUGGCGAGACAUAGAACUUCGUGACGGCGCCAUGGACACGCCUUUUGACGAAAACUCAAGAUCUUCACAACUUAGCAUCGCACAGGGCUUUAGAUUAGACUGACCACAAAAAAUACAUUGAUGUCAUAAAAUUUCUAGGAGUAGUUCAUCGCAGUGUAAAAUAUGUCACUUCCUGUUGCCAAUAGGUGGCGCUAUGACUAUAACUGAAUAUGGGCAUGUCAAUCUGUUCAGGCCAGGAGUCUCAUCAAACAUGUGAAGUUUGGGGCAGAUUGGUCAUUGUAUGUCUGAGUUAUAGCAACUUCCUGUUUCAUGGCGAAUCAUCAAAAUUCGCCAGGCCGCCACGGACACGCCCAUUAACGAAAACUCAAAAGCUUCGCAAUUUAACAUCGCAAAGGCCUUCAGAUUAGGCAUACCAAAUUUGGUGUUGAUCUGAAUGAAUCUCUAGGAGGAGUUCGUUAAAAUACAACGCAUGGAAAUGACAAAAA